AUACAGGACUCAUAUCCGAGGCCCUGUAAUUGGAAUGAGUACACUUUAAAUCCUUUAACAAGGACCAAUUGGAGGGCAAGUCUGGUGCCAGCAGCCGCGGUAAUUCCAGCUCCAAUAGCGUAUAUUAAAGUUGUUGCGGUUAAAACGUUCGUAGUUGAACUUGUGCUUCAUACGGGUAGUACAACUUACAAUUGUGGUUAGUACUAUACCUUUAUGUAUGUAAGCGUAUUACCGGUGGAGUUCUUAUAUGUGAUUAAAUACUUGUAUUUUUUCAUAUGUUCCUCCUAUUUAAAAACCUGCACUAGUGCUCUUAAACGAGUGUUAUUGUGGGCCGGUACUAUUACUUUGAACAAAUUAGAGUGCUUAAAGCAGGCUUCAAAUGCCUGAAUAUUCUGUGCAUGGGAUAAUGAAAUAAGACCUCUGUUCUGCUUUCAUUGGUUUUCAGAUCAAGAGGUAAUGAUUAAUAGAAGCAGUUUUGGGGGCAUUAGUAUUACGACGCGAGAGGUGAAAUUCUUGGACCGUCGUAAGACUAACUUAAGCGAAAGCAUUUGCCAAAGAUGUUUUCAUUAAUCAAGAACGAAAGUUAGAGGUUCGAAGGCGAUCAGAUACCGCCCUAGUUCUAACCAUAAACGAUGCCAGCUAGCAAUUGGGUGUAGCUACUUUUAUGGCUCUCUCAGUCGCUUCCCGGGAAACCAAAGCUUUUGGGCUCCGGGGGAAGUAUGGUUGCAAAGCUGAAACUUAAAGGAAUUGACGGAAGGGCACCACCAUGAGUGGAGCCUGCGGCUUAAUUUGACUCAACACGGGAAAACUUACCAGGUCCGAACAUAAGUGUGUAAGACAGAUUGAUAGCUCUUUCUCGAAUCUAUGGGUGGUGGUGCAUGGCCGUUCUUAGUUCGUGGAGUGAUUUGUCUGGUUAAUUCCGAUAACGACACAGAGACUCAAAUAUAUUAAAUAGAUAUCUUCAGGAUUAUGGUGCUGAAGCUUAUGUUAGCCUUCAUGCAUGGUGGCAGUAGAAUGUAUAUUGUGUCUGAAUGUGUUUAUGUACGUGGAGCCGUACCUGUUGGUUUGUCCCCAUUAUAAGGACACUAGCUUCUUAAAUGGACAAAUUGCGUCUAGCAAUAUUGAGAGUGAGCAAUAACAGGUCUGUGAUGCCCUUAGAUGUCCUGGGCUGCACGCGCGCUACAAUGAAAGUAUCAACGUGUAUUUCCUAGACCGAGAGGUCCGGGUAAACCGCUGAACCACUUUCAUGCUUGGGAUUGUGAACUGAAACUGUUCACAUGAACUUGGAAUUCCCAGUAAGUGUGAGUCAUUAACUCGCAUUGAUUACGUCCCUGCCCUUUGUACGCACCGCCCGGCGCUACUACCGAUUGAAUUAGGGGGUGAGGCCCCCGGACGUGAUCUCUGUGACGCCCCCCCCCCCCCCCCCCCCCCCAAAAGUUGACCUGAACGCCGCCCUUGCUCCAAGCGACAAUUUAAGAAUAUUUU
rnacentral:rRNA from 1 species